CUGAUUUGGGAUGCAUGGCACAAGUUAUUUUUUCCUUUUGGUUCAACUCCAAUUUGUAUGCAUCCAACCAAAAUCCAUUUAUUUCUCAGUGCCGAAAGAUUAAACCAAAAUUUUAUCCAUUAUUCAGGUUACUAACAUCACAUUUAAGGGCUUCCAUCUAAACCCAGCCAAAAAGCUACCUUGAACAGAGACUAAAACUUCAAGCACAGUAGUUCCAAUACAAAUAAAGGGUAAAAAAUAAUUAUAGUCAUUAAGGGAACUAUUGAAGAACUUUUGAAGUGCAAAGAGAUGUAAAUAACACUGAUCCAAUGCAAGUGAUGAAGAAUGGUGUUGAAGUUCUAGUUUUGGCAAACCUUCAGUGACAUUGAUAAAUUGAUUGGAUCAAAUAAGGAGGUGUGUGUUACUUCAUUUUCAUCAAUAAAUGAACCAUUCCUGGUGCCGUGUCAUAUGAGACCACUAUGGGAAUUGGAUAAUGGAUUGCAAGAGGAACUUGGGGUCUGGUGGGUAAGACCCGCGGAGCUGUGGGGAUGGCCAACAGCUUGCUUGGAACCUGGGGUAUAGGAAUGUGAUAAUGAGGAAGUUGUUAACAUCCUUAAUGGUGUUAAUGCUAAUGAAAGUGGCUCAGCACUGAUUCGUACCAUCUUCAAAUUAUUGAAGAACACUUGAGAGAUUAGCUUGGUGCAGAUUUGCAGAGUCACAUGGCCAAGAUGCAAACUGCAGAGGAGCUGAAAUUCUAUAUUUUUCACUACCCUCCGUUUUAUCGUUGUAGAAUAAGGAUGUGGUCUGAGCCUUUUAUUUACCAAAAAGAAUCCAUUGGUUUGCAGGGGCCAACAGUGUAGUAUAUAUAAUAUGAGAAGAAAGGCCUUGGAAUGAGCACAAAAUAAUUGUAAUGUCAUUUUUAGAAGUCUAAGUGAAAAAUAGGCUUUGAUAAGUUUUAUGGCUCACCUUGAAGAUUUAUACCUUUAUUAUUUGGUUAACAACUAAAGAAAUACAUUUGUAGCCUCUAUGUUUUUUCAACACAUAAAUAGGAAUAUAAUGCGCUUGAACG